rnacentral:rRNA from 1 species
UACGUAGGGGGCGAGCGUUGUCCGGAAUUACUGGGCGUAAAGGGUGCGUAGGCGGAUGGGAAAGUCAGAUGUGAAAUUCCAGUACUCAAUACUGGAGCUGCAUUUGAAACUCCCCUUCUGGAGGGUAGACGGAGAGAACGGAAUUCCAUGUGUAGCGGUGAAAUGCGUAGAUAUAUGGAAGAACACCUGUGGCGUAAGCGGUUCUCUAGUUUAUUUCUGACGCUGAGGCACGAGAGUGUGGGGAGCAAACAGG